GUGACCUCAAAUCAGGUAGGACUACCCGCUGAACUUAAGCAUAUCAAUAAGCGGAGGAAAAGAAACUAACAAGGAUUCCCCUAGUAACUGCGAGUGAAGCGGGAAAAGCUCAAAUUUAAAAUCUGUCAGUCUUUGGCUGUCCGAGUUGUAAUCUAGAGAAGUGUUAUCUGCGUUGGACCGUGUACAAGUCUCCUGGGAUGGAGCGUCAUAGAGGGUGAGAAUCCCGUCUUUGACACGGACUACCAAGGCUUUGUGAUGCGCUCUCAAAGAGUCGAGUUGUUUGGGAAUGCAGCUCAAAAUGGGUGGUAAAUUCCAUCUAAAGCUAAAUAUUGGCGAGAGACCGAUAGCGAACAAGUACCGUGAGGGAAAGAUGAAAAGAACUUUGGAAAGAGAGUUAAACAGUACGUGAAAUUGCUGAAAGGGAAACGCUUGAAGUCAGUCGCGUUGUCCAGGGAUCAACCUUGCUUUUGCUUGGUGUACUUUCUGGUUAACGGGUCAACAUCAAUUUUGAUCAUUGGAAAAAAGUUAAGGGAAUGUGGCAUCUUUGGAUGUGUUAUAGCCUUUGAUUGUAUACAAUGGUUGGGAUUGAGGAACUCAGCACCGCCGCAAGGCCCGGGUUU
rnacentral:rRNA from 1 species